rnacentral:rRNA from 1 species
GAAUAAAAUUUUAAGUUGACUCUGCCCAAUGAUUGAAUUAAAUGGCUGCAGUAUAUUGACUGUACAAAGGUAGCAUAAUAAAUUGUUUUUUAAAUGAAAACUUGAAUGAAGGAGGUGAUGAAAUAUAAGCUUUUUUUUUUUAAUUUAUUGAAUUUAAUUUUUAAAUUAAAAAGUUUAAAUAAAAUUAAGGGACGAGAAGACCCUAUAGAAUUUUACAAUAAAAAAUUAUAAUAGGAUAAUAAAAUAAAAUUGUUUAUUUGGGAGGAAUGUAUAAAUUAUAAACUUAUAUAUAAAUUUACAUAAAUAAAUGGUUAAAUAGAUUUUUAAUAUAAAUUAUUAGAUUAAAUUACCUUAGGGAUAACAGCGUAAUAUUUUUUGAUAGACCAUAUUAAAAAA